CCUACGGGUGGCAGCAGGAGGGAAUCUUCCACAAUGGACGAAAGUCUGAUGGAGCAACGCCGCGGGAGUGAAGAAGGGUUUCGGCGCGUAAAGCUCUGUGGGUAGGGAAGAAAGAUAGAGGUAGUAACUGGCCUUGAGUUGACGGUAAGUACGGAGAAAGGCACGGCUAACUACGUGCCAGCAGCCGCGGUAAUACGUAGGUGGCAAGCGUUGUCCGGAUUUAUUGGGCGUAAAGCGAGUGCAGGCGGUUCAAUAAGUCUGAUGUGAAAGCCUUCGGCGCAACCGGAGAAUUGCAUCCGAAACUGUUGACCUUUCGUGCAGUAGAGGCGAGUGGAACUCCCUGUUUAGCG
rnacentral:rRNA from 1 species